GGGAUAGCACACUCACUAGAGCAUGAGACUCUUAAUCUCAAGGUCAUGGGUUCGAGCCUCACAUAAAAUCA